CGCGGGAUGGAGCAGCUCGGUAGCUCGCUGGGCUCAUAACCCAGAGGUCGCAGGUUCAAAUCCUGUUCCCGAG
rnacentral:tRNA from 1 species